GGGGGUAUAGCUUCAGGGUAAAGCACAUGCUUAGCAUGCACAAGGUGUUCUGGGUUCAAUCCCCAGUACCUCCA
rnacentral:tRNA from 1 species